rnacentral:rRNA from 1 species
ACGAACGCUAGCGGAGUGCUUUAAGCAUGCAAGUAGAGCGGGUUGGCAGCAAUGCCAAUCAGCUGCGAACGGCUGAGUAAUGAAUAGGAAUCUUUCCUUUGGUGGAGAAUACCUCAUCGAAAGAUGAGCUAAUACUGCAUAAUUCCAUUUAUGGAAACAUAGAUGGGGAAAGCGCAUAACUGCGCGCCGAUUGAGGAGCCUAUUCCCCAUCAGGCAGUUGGUAGGGUAAUGGCCUACCAAACCUACGACGGGUACCCGAUCUGAGAGGAUGACCGGGCAGAGUGGGACUGAGACACGGCCCACACACCUACGGGUGGCAGCAACUGGGAAUCGUACGCAAUGGACGAAAGUCUGACGUCGCGACUCCGCGUGAAGGAUGAAGGCGUAUUCGUUGUAAACUUCUUUUGCCAUGUAUGAGAGUACAUGGAGAAUAAGCACCUGCUAAUCUCGU